rnacentral:rRNA from 1 species
UACGUAGGUGGCAAGCGUUGUCCGGAUUUACUGGGCGUAAAGAGCGCGCAGGCGGCUGGUCAAGUCCGAUGUGAAAUCUCCCGGCUCAACUGGGAAACUGCAUCGGAAACUGAUCGGCUUGAAGGUGGGAGAGGGUAGUGGAAUUCCCGGUGUAGUGGUGAAAUGCGUAGAUAUCGGGAGGAACACCAGUGGCGAAGGCGGCGUUCUGGACUGUAUCUGACACUGAGGAACGAAAGCCAGGGGAGCAAACGGG